UACGUAGGGGGCAAGCGUUGUCCGGAAUUACUGGGCGUAAAGGGCGUGUAGGCGGUUUUUUAAGUCAGAUGUGAAAGUUCGGGGCUUAACCCCGGAAUUGCAUUUGAAACUGGAGAACUUGAGUACUGGAGAGGUAAGUGGAAUUCCUAGUGUAGCGGUGAAAUGCGUAGAUAUUAGGAGGAACACCAGUGGCGAAGGCGACUUACUGGACAGAUACUGACGCUGAGGCGCGAAAGCGUGGGGAGCGAACAGG
rnacentral:rRNA from 1 species